CUUCGAUUACAAUAUGCUAACGACAUCUCCAACCCUAUUCUAAAACCCACUCCAAACUCCAUUUUACAAUAAAAUCAUUUUUAACCCCACUCCAAAACUCACUCAAAAAUUGAGUAAUAGAUAUAAUUACUCCAAAUAUGGAGUAAGCCAACUCAUUACUCCAAAAUGGAGUUGAACUUUUUUAUUUAUAAAAUGAUCCUUCAUAUUUAAAUAUUUUCGUUUUAAAUAAAAUAUUAUUAUAAAUACAUAUAUAAAUAUUAUUUUACUAUAUAUAUUAUAAAAAUUACUGUUAAUAUUUCUUAAUUAUAUAAAUAUCCAUCUAAUGAACUAUUUUAUGCAACAAAAUAUAUAUAAUAUAAAACAUAAAAGACCAUACAUAUAAAAAAUAAAAGAUAAGCACCAUACAAAAGAUAUAUAAUAUAAAUCAUAAAAGAUCAUACAUAUGAAAAUGGACUAUUUUGCAAAUAGUAUAAAUAAAAGAUGAAUAGAUGAUAUUACUAAUUUUUUAGUAACACAAAACAUAAUAUAUUAAAAAUAUUAUAUUUUGGAGUAGGAACUGAAGUAAUACAUUGGAGCAAAACUCAAUUUCAUUUUGAAAUUACUCUAUUUUAGAAUAGAAAAUGGAUUAAUACAUUGGAGAUGCUCUAAUAAGAAAGCGACAAUAUACUAUAAUAUAUAAAGAUUAUUCUGGAGAUAUUUAGAUGAUACAAGAGAAACCAUUGGAUACGAAACAAUCGUAUUGUAGAAAAUCUUAUUUGAUCCUGCCUUUCCUUUUAUAGUAAGUUCCCUUGCAUGAUGGGUAUGGCAAGACUUGUUUUUUACGUGGGAGACGCUACAUUAGGUAUCCGACCGCACAUUCUAUAUACGUAUUAACACAUACGUAACAGCAUUUUCAAGGAAACUGAAAUUGAAAUUGGAAUCCAGUUUAUGUAUUUAGAAUUUUGUACGUUUUUCCAUGCACAUCGCCACAUUUCUCAUAUAUAUAUAUAGCAUUCGGGUAUUCGGUUCAGUUUCGGAUAGGAACUAUUCGGUUCCAGAUAUAUCGGAUAAAUCAUUUUUAUAUCCAAUAGUUACUUGUGAAAUGUCGGGUCAAUUUCAGAUCGGUUUCCCAUACCCUUUUAAUAUUUGAAUCAAAUAUAUAUACACAUUGGCUAAUCUAAAAAAAAUAUAGUGAAUGGGAGCAAAAAUAGUGAAAAGAGGCAAGGGUUACUCGAUCUUUGGUUCAAUGGGUGCAAGUAGUAGUUUUUUUCCAACUAAGCUGCAUCGUGCAUAUAAUUUUUGGUGCAUUUAAAUAAAUUUGUAUUUUUUACUGGGGGCAACUGCACCCUUUCUACUUCACCUAGAUUCACCAAUGUAUAUACAUAAUAUAUUACUCCCUCCGUUCCUAAAAGAUGUAUUUUCUAGAAAAAAGUUUUGUUUUAAAAAGAUACAUUUUUUAUUUUUUCAAUGUUUGAUUUUAUGAAAAAUUGUAAGUUUCAAAAAAAUUAAUGGUGUUUAUUGAAUUUCUACUGGUUUAAAGUUGUGGAAAAUUGUUAUUCACAAAAAACAAUGCAUAUUUAAUGAGUUUUCUUAAUAUAUGUGAAAAGUCUAGAAUAUGCAUCUUUUAAAAACAGAGGGAGUAGUUAACAAGUUAGUCUACGUGGUCUAGUGGUUGCACAUUUUUUAAAUUUGUCAAUCCAACCAUAGUUGUGUUAAAUUUAUAAGUAUUUAAUGUAUUUUAAUAUAAAAAUACAAUAUAUAUUUAUAAUAUAAAAUAGUACAUAAAAGAUAAUGUGUAUUGGUGGUAAUAAUAUUUUCACUUUUCAUAUUCAACCCAUGUCAGAGUGGAGUUAAUAACAUUUUAUCUUAUAUUAAAAAGUUGAAACUUGGUUUUUCGGAUAUUCAGGUAUUUGAAGAUUCGUUUGAUUUUUUGGUUCUGGUUUUUUGCCCGGGCCUGUCCAUGUAUUUUAUAUUUUCCAUACACAAGACUAACAAGAUUGUAAAACAUUGAAUACACCUAAGUUAUUGAAUUAUCUGUCAGAAGAUGGGCAUAUUUAUUAGAUUGUAUUUAUUUCUGAUCGACAUUAUCAGAUAAGGGUGCCGCUUGAUACAAAACAAAUUAUUCCAGUCUCUUUUCCUUUUCAACAUGUCUUAUAAAUAUCUACAACAGUUUGUCAGUUUCAUUCAUGACGUAAUGGUCUAGAAGCUGGUCCCCAUGAGUAUUUCAGUGAUUAUAAUUCAUAUCUAAGCAUAUGCAUGAUACUUCGUUGCGUGUGAUCAUGUACUGAUGUACAUGUCCACCAUUAUUAUUGGAAUACUGAGGAUGGGUUAUGUCAUGAAAGUAACCUUGCUGAUUUGUUUUGCUAAUAUAUGUUUGAUCUAACCAUUUAUACUAAAGAAGGUUAUGUCAUGAGGAUUGGCAUAUUGGUUUUUCUUUUCGGGUUGAAAAGUGAAAGUAACAGAUAAAUUUCACCAGGAAACGAUAUGCGUCUUUAAUCCUUUCCAAGAAGUUACCAAGAGAGGGACACGGCGAGAGAGGACAAACCACAGGUUGAGAUCUAUAAGAUGUCAUUUUUUUCUUCUCCAAGAACCUAUAGAUUAAGGGUAUCGAGUGCAAGAGAAAAGCGUGUGUUGCCUAGAACAAUGGCAGAUCACAUAAAUAUUAGAUUAAAAUUUGUCAGGGACAUUAUGGUAAAUCUUGUGGGACUUGAGUCUAAAGUCGUUUGGAACCAAAUCUGGUCUUUGCGCGCUUCAGGGUCGAUCGACAACACAGAGUGUGUGUCGAUCGAUUAUCGUCUUCAAUUAUCGACGGCUGGGCUGUUAGAUGGUCAGCUACGGGUCUUCAUCAUUUUAUCUCUAAAAUGCACCAAAAUCACAAUUUUUCUCCAAAUCACUCCAAAACCUGAAAACAUACUAAAAAGACUCCAAAACAACUAUGAUGUAUUUAAAAACACCUAUAUAUCAUCUAAAAGUGGGUAAAAUCCAUGGUAUAUCACUCGCCAUAUGGUGAGCUGGGUGUGCGAUGCUGGGCUCGGGAUGACCUGCUCGCUAUUCGGCGGGUUGGAUAAGGUCGAAGUCUUUUUGAUACCCUAAGAUUUCUACUCCGGUCAUAUUCUGAAAUUAUUUCGGAGAAAUUUCCCAAGAACAACAAUCUUAGACGUUGAUUUCGAGAUUGCUGAUAAAAUAAUUCCAGAACUUGUCGUACAACCUUUUCAAUAAAAAAUAUACGAAAGUUAUGUUUCAAGAAUUAUUUUCCGAGGACUUUCAGACAUUAAUUCCGCCGUUACCGAUUUUGACCUCAACAUUGAUAUGUUAGAUUUUUAAAAGAUAACAUUGGUGAUUAUGGUUUUGAUAGUAAUCUUGUACUUGAAACACCAUUUAUUGUCCGCGAAGAAACUAUAUCUAUUUUCUUUGUACUUUUACAUCAAAAUAUUAAAGGGGUUAGACAAAACAUAUAGUCAGCAUAUUUUAUUGUUAAAAUAUGUUUUACUGCAUCCAUAAUUAUUUAGAUACAACUAAAUUUUUGAACUAAUACAUCUACAGUGUAUAAUUUUUCACAAAAAUAAAAUAUCAGAAAAUAAUUUAUUUGGUUAUAUAAGUGUAGUUUUUGUCACUAAUUACGUAUUUCUUACCAAUUUUUUUUGUAUAUUUUAAAUAACAUAUUCAUUAUGAAAUAUGUGUUGAUAUUACAAGAAAAAAUAAUAAUAAAUAUUAUUUUCUGUGUAGAACAAAACAACCAUAAACAUAUUAUUAGUCUAAAUAUAUUAUGCAUGACGUAUUUGGCUUAUGUUAACCUGAAAAUUGUUAUAGGAAAAUUUAAACUGAAAAUAAACACUCAAAAAAUAACAAAAUUCUCAACUAGUCAUAUUGUAAAUUAAUGCAUUUAUAUAGAAAAAAUAGAAUAACAUUUGACACCAAUGAUAAAAUAUAAUAAGGUAAUGCAUUUAUUUUAAUGUUAUUUUGACUAUAAUCCAGUAAAUUAAGCUCAAGGAUAUUUUGAUGAAAUUUUCCUUUUAUGCAAAUUUAUGUUAUUAUAUAUAUAUAUAUAUAUAUAUAUAUAUAUAAAUCAAAAUAGAACACUUAUUAAAAAAAUUUAAAAAUGUCCAUACAAAAUGGGUGUCUCCAAAAACUUAUUGAUCACAUUUAUUUUUACUAUCUUCUUCGUAGUAUCUAAUGUUCAUUGCUACACAUGUAUUUAAUUUCACUUUAUUUUUACUUUUAUUUAUACUCACAUAUUUAUGUUUUUAUAAUUGUUAACAUUGCAUCAUUCUGAUUUUAAACAGACUUUGAAGUAAAACAAAACUACAGAAAAUGCUAGUUGACUUUCUGUGUAAACCAAAAGAUGGAAUAUGUGAGAGGUUUUGUGGAGCUAUGACCGUUCAGUUAGUUGGCGAAUGUGAUUCUUGAAAAUGUUGUUGUAGGUUAAAAAGGCCAAACUAACAGUAUUAGAUAUUAUAAAUUUUGUACUAGUCAAAAACAAUUAGCAAGCUGAAAUUAGUUUAAUAGAGAAAAUGUCUGCUUAAAGGAAAUAAAAAAAUAUUAAUUCAACAUAUAAGAUAUUUAAAUAGAAAAUAUCAAGAUUACUAGUGAAACAAGUCUUCAUAUACUAAUGGUAAAUUCGAUAACUUUUUGGAUAACUAGAAUAUUAUCUUUUGUGAAUUUGAUAUUUUCAGGCGCAAAACCUUUGAUUCUCUUGUUUUAAUCGACUGAACACAAUUGGCUUUCAUAUGUUAGAUUUGUAAAAGAUAACAUUUGCAAGAAUGGUGUUUAUAGUAAUCUUGUAGUUGAAACACCAUUUAUCUGUCCUCGAAGAAACUAUAUCUAUUUUCUUGGGAAAAUUUCAAUUCUACCACAAGUUUGAUACCACUUUUCAAAUUUACCAUUAAUGAAUGACUAUUUUCAUAAAUACUCUAAAUCUGUGAUAAAAGAACACAAAACUAAUUUUUAAAAUAUUUAUAAACAUUUAUAAAUCCAACCCCAACCCUAACUAAACCCUAAAAAUAAUCACUAAAGCAUAAACCCAAAUAUUAAUAAAUUUUGUCAUUGAUAUUAUUUUUAAAAAAGUGGUACUUAACUUGUGGUAUUUUUGACAAUUUCUCUAUUUUCUUUGUACUUUACAUCAAAAUAUUAAACAGAUUAGGCAAAAAAUAUAGUCAGAAUAUUUUAUUGUUAAAAUAUGUUUUUACUGCACCCAUAAUUAUUUAGAUACAACUAAAUUGUUUUUGUACUAACACAUCUACCGCGUAUAAAUUUUCACUAAAAUAUAAUAUCAGAAAAUGAUUUAUUUGGUUAUAAAAGUGUAGUUCAUGUCACUAAUUACAUAUUUCUUACCUAUUUUUUGUAUAUUUAAAUAUCAUAUUAAUUAUGAAAUACGUGUUUAUAUUACAAGAGAAAAUAAUAUCCUUCUUUUGUGUAGAGCAAAACAAUCAUAAACAUAUUGUAGUCUAAAUAUAUUAUGCAUGAUGUAUUUGGCUUAUGUUAACCUGAAAAUAGUUUUAUAAGAAAUUUAAAACUUUAAAUAAACGCUCAAAAGAUAACAAAAUUCUCAAUUAGUAGUAUUGCAAAUUACUGCAUUUAUUGUGAAACAUUAAAAAUUUAAAGUUCUAAGAUUCUACUGAACUAAAAAUAAUAACUUACAUAACCUCACAUGCCAAGUUUUUAUAAAUAAACUAUUGAAUUCAUCUGACAUUAAAUAUAUAUAUAUAUAUAUAUAUUAAAAAAAUACAUAAUGUAUUAAAUGAAAUAUAAAAUAUUAAUUAACUUGUUUUGACUAUGAAUAAGGAAAUAUUCAAUCAUAAUAAUAAUCUAAAUCUAUAACCAAUAGACCUUGCAAAAUCAGUAACAAAUAACAUAAUACUGACAAGAUAUUUUCUAUAAAAAAAAGAGAAUAACAUUUGACACCAAUGAUAAAAUAUAUGAUAUAAUAUUAUAAGGUAAGGAAUCUAUUUUAAAAUUGUUUUGACUAUAAUUCAAGAAACUAAGCUAAAGGAUAUUUUGAUGAAAAUUUCCUUUUAUGAAAAUUUAUGUUAUAAUAUAUAUAUAUAUAUAUAUAUAUAUAUAUAUAUAUAUAACAAUACAAAUCAAAAUAGUACACUAAACAAAAAUUAAGAAAAGUUCAUACAAAAUGGGUAUCUCCAAAAACAUAUUGAUCGCAUUUGUUUUCACUAUCUUCUUCAUAGUAUCUAAUGUUCAUUGUUACCCAAGUAUUUAAUUUCACUUUACUGUUUAUUUUUAUUUAUGCUCAUAUAUUUAUCUUUUUAUAAUUGUCAACAUUGCAAUCAUUCUGAUUUUAGACAGACUUUGAAGACCAAUGCUACCCUGAGCAGCUGUGUGCACCAAAUGACGGAAUUUGUGAGCAGUGGUGUGCAUCUAUGUCCAUUCCGUUAGUUGGUGAAUGUGUUUCUGGAAAAUGUUGUUGUUUGUCAAAAAGGCCGAACUAACAUUAUUUGAUAUUAUAAAUUUUGUACUAGUGUGAACAGUACUAAUAAAGAUCCAAAAACAAUAAACUGAAAUUAAUUUAAUAGAGAAAAUGUUUGCUUAGAGGAAAACAAAAAAAUAUUAAUUCAACACAUAAGAUAUAUAAAUGGAAAAUAUCAAGAUUACUAGUGAAACAGGUUUUCAUAUACUAAUGGUAAAUUUGAUAACUGUUUGAAUAACUAGAGUAUUAUCUUUUGUAAAUAUAUUUGAUAUUUUCCGGCGCAAAACCUUGGAUUCUCUUGUUUUAAUUGACUGAGCACAAUUGAUUUUGAUAUGUUAGAUUUGUAAAAGAUAACAUUGGUGAUUAUGGUUUUGAUAGUAAUCUUGUGCUUGAAACACCAUUUAUUUGUCUUGGAAAUAAACUAUAUCUAUUUUCUUUGUACUUUACAUCAAAAUAUUAAAUGGAUUAGACAAAACAUAUAGUCAGCAUAUUUUAUUGUUAAAAUAUGUUUUUACUGCACCUAUAAUUAUUUAAUACAACUAAUUUUUUUUUGUACUAAUACAACUACCGUGUAUAAUUUUUCACAAAAAUAAAAUAUCAGAAAAUGAUUUAUUUGGUUAUAUAAGUGUAAUUUAUGUCACUAAUUACGUAUUUCUUACCAACUUAUAUUUUAAAUCUCAUAUUCAUUAUGAAAUAUGUGUUGAUAUUACAAGAACAAAUAAUGAUAAUUAUUUUUUGUGUAGAACAAAACAACCAUAAAUAUAUUUUAAUCUAAAUAUAUUAUGCAUGACGUAUUUGGCUUAUGUUAACCUGAAAAUAGUUAUAAGAAAAUUUAAACUCUAAAUAAACACUCAAACAAUAACAACAUUCUCAACUAGUCAUAUUCUACAUUAAUGCAUUUACUAUGAAACAUUAAAAAUUUGAAGGUCUAAGAUUCUACUGAACAAAAAAUAAUAACUAACAUGUAUGAAAAACCUCAUAUGCUAUGUUUUUAUUAAAUAAACUAUUGGAUUCAUCUAACAUUAUGUAUAUAUAUAUAUAUAUAUAUAUAUUUGAAUAAUACAUAAUUUAUGAAAUGAAAAUUUUAAUAUGAUUUAAGUUGUUUUGACUAAGACUAUUGAAAUAUUCAAUCAUAAUAUUAAUCUAAAUCUAUAGCUAAUAGACCUUGCAAAAUCAGUAACAAAUAACAAAUAGUAUAUUGACAAGAUAUUUUAUUUAGAAAAAAUAGAAUAACAUUUGACACCAAUGAUAAAAUAUAAUAAGGUAAUGCAUUCAUUUUAAUGUUAUUUUGACUAUAAUCAAGAAAAUUAAGCUCAAGGAUAUUUUGAUGAAAAUUACCUUUUAUGAAAAUUUAUGUUAUUAUAUAUAUAUAUAUAUAUAUAUAUAACAAUAUAAAUAAAAUUAGAACACUUAAAAAAAUUUAAAAAAAGUUCAUACAAAAUGGGUAUCUCCAAAAACAUAUUGAUCACAUUUGUUUUUACUAUCUUCUUCGUAGUAUCUAAUGUUCAUUGCUACACAUGUAUUUAAUUUCACAUUAUUUUUAAUUUUAUUUAUACUCAUAUAUUUUUAUUUUUAUAAUUGUCAACAUUGCAUCAUUCUGAUUUUAAACAGACUUUGAAGUAAAACAAGACUACA